rnacentral:rRNA from 1 species
UAGGGAAUCUUCGGGCAAUGGACGAAAGUCUGACCGAGCAACGCCGCGUGAGUGAAGAAGGUUUUUCGGAUCGUAAAACUCUGUUGUUAGAGAAGAACAAGGGUGAGAGUAACUGUUCACCCCUUGACGGUAUCUAACCAGAAAGCCACGGCUAACUACGUGCCAG